UACGUAGGGUGCAAGCGUUAAUCGGAAUUACUGGGCGUAAAGCGUGCGCAGGCGGUUUUGUAAGUCAGAUGUGAAAUCCCCGGGCUUAACCUGGGAACUGCGUUUGAAACUACAAGGCUAGAGUGUGACAGAGGGGGGUGGAAUUCCACGUGUAGCAGUGAAAUGCGUAGAGAUGUGGAGGAACACCGAUGGCGAAGGCAGCCCCCCUGGGUUAACACUGACGCUCAGGCACGAAAGCGUGGGGAGCAAACAGG
rnacentral:rRNA from 1 species